ensembl:lncRNA
GGAUCAUGUGACGAAAGACGGCUCCUGGGUCACGUGACCAAUACAGGCGGCAGGUAUGUAAAACUACAUAAGACCAUUCUAACCAAAAAUAUAAUUUACCGGAAAAAUACCUCGGAAAAUUCUAAAUAAAUGAAGCCCGCGGACAAUGCAUAUUUGAAUUGUACCGUAGUUAAGUUGGAGGUACCCUGGCGGUGGUCCAGUUUAGAGAAAAUGACGCGUGGAACUGGGCGGUGAGCUCCUCUGUCAUGGACAAAGGCAAGGCAAGGCAACUUUAUUCAUAUAGCCCUUCUUAUACACGAGGCAGAAUCAAAGUGCUUCACAUAAAAACAUUGUCAUACAAUAACAUGAAAUUAAAUAAAAUGGAUCAAUAAAAGAAAACAAAGGCAAACUAAAUAAAAGCAAACAUAUAAGUCUUCAGUCCUGUUUUUAAAAGUGGUCAGAGUUGGGGCAAGUAAAUCCUCAGGGAGGUUUUCAUUUUAGUACCAUCUCGGUUUUGUCCUCAUUUAGUGGAAGGAAAUUUUGAGAAAGUCUUUGACUUUCUCAAUGCACUGGCACAGCAGAUAUAGGCCUAUGGGCCGAUAGUCAUUUGGUGAUAGCGCUACAUAGAUUUGCGAACAAAGGGUAGCCUAUUUGUGUCUUUUGUGAUUAUGGCCUAGUUACUGCUCUCAGGUCAAGGUCCACGCCGAGAGAUGUGAUAACCGUUGCCAUCGCUGUGGUUGGACUUUUGACCACGUCAAUCGUUUCAGAUUAAACUUUUUAACAUAGGACCGAUCAGAAAUGUUACGCAUGCUACGAAAAUACAAAAGACCAUUAAAAUGACAUAAACAAUCGCAAUCUCAUUAUAUUCAGACAACGACCAUGAACCAGAUUUAGAUUCAACCUGAACUGCUAGAUUAAGAGCUGCUGUUAAUGUUAGAUCAUUAUUUUCCAGUAACAGCCUUUGCCUAAUUAAUUCAUUUUUUGUGUGCAGUAUCAGUUGGUCCCUUAUCAUUUCGUCCUGUAACGCCCCGUACUUGCACAUGGUAGCCAGCAUCCCUAAUUCAGCCGCGAACCUCUCCACUGACUCCCAUGGACGUUGGCGCCUGCGUCGGAAUAUGACGCGACGGAGCAGAACACCUUUAGGAGCGGGGUAAUGUGCUUUCAUGAGCUCCACGGCCUUUGCGAAAGUAGGCGCGGGGCCAAGAGUUCCCAACACGCGCUGUCCCUCCGCUCCCAGACAGUGCAGCAGCAGUGCACGGUACCUCCACUCCGGAACAGUGUCCAGGCCGGCAGCGGUGAUAAACGUUUGGAACAAGGUAAUCCAGAGGGGCCACGGCACCGGUGGUUCUCCCGGCAGGGCUAGGAAGGGGAGGGGGUGGUAGGCAGCAUCCAGCCAUCCUCGUCGCCAAUGUUGUUAUGUUUCAAUAAUGGAGACUGAGAAAAGAUCCAACGUCGAAGCUGUUAUGUUCGUUCCUUAGCCUAUUAUUCUACUUCCUGUAGUUUGGUCUGGCUGGUAGGUACACAGUAAAAUUACAAGAGUAACAUUUCCGUAGUUAAAAUUAUUUUACUCAAACUGUAUUUUUUGCUCUGAUUUGAGGUGAAAGAACAAAACAAGAGUUGAGAGACACGCAGAGUUAGAUCUGAAUAACGGAGUCAUAAUUUUGACUCCUCCCAGAGGGCAACGCAGUUAAGUUUCGUUUUGUCCGCCAUUACGCCGAUGGUCAUUUCAGCUGCAACCGAUCUGGAUAAAAGUCUGGAAAGUCUGCUAGGAAAAUAACAACGAUGGAGGCAACUGUUAGGGUGAAAUAUAAGGACAGAAAGAAGUACUUCUUCCUAACAUCACCUUUUCAAUUCGAAGUAUUUUUGGAAAGUGAUUCCUUCAGUUCUAGUACGAUUGGCGAUGGUGAGGCUUCCUUCAGUUCUGGUACAAUUGGCGAUGGAGAGCCUUCAUCAGGAUCUGAUGACACAGCAAUAGUGAUCAGAAAUCCCUCAGAAAAAAGACAUGAAGAGGACCGUCGUCUGGGUCGAAUGAUUGAGGACAUCCUCAAGAGUAGCCCUGGAGGUGAUAAGAUCACACAUGAGUAUGCUCGCACAAAAACAUUGUCAGAUGCAGAGCCGGACAGUAACGGAGUACAUUUACUUGAGUACAGUACUUAAGUACAAUUUUGAGGGAUCUGUACUUUACUUGAGUAUCAUUUUUUGGGAGUACUCAUGACUUUACUCAAGUACAUUUGAGAGGCAAAUAUUGUACUCUUUACUCCGUUACAUUUCUAUCCGUAACCGUGAGUACCCGUUACUCCUUCUGAAAAAUAAAAGGAGAAAAGAAAAAUCACGGAAACCCUCAAUUUGUUGUUUCCCUCUCAAACGUGAUUCCCUCUCAAACUGAUUAGGACAGCCUUCAGCCUAUCAGCAAUCACCUUCGCUUUCAGCCAAAGCCAACUCCAUGGUCAGAAUUAGAUGAGAGACGAUUGUUGGAUAAAAACGGAGAAACUCACACAUACAUAGAAUUGUUAGCUGAAUUUUCUUUUCUGAUAUUGCAUAUUUAUGUAAGCUGAGCAAUUGUUUUUAUGUUCUUGAGUAUACUGUAUACUAUUGUGCUAUUGCCAUGGUAAAAAGAUGAAAAUUACUUGAUUUUACUUUCAAUUCCUUUUACAUUCCCCAAGGUGUUAACAUUUUUCAUAACUCCAUGUAGGACGUUUCUAUACAUAAAUGUAAGCACUGUGGCAGUAGUAAUGCAAUAUUUAGAAAACAUACUCUUGUACUCUUGAUACUCAAGUACUUUUAAAAACAAGUACUUCAGUACUUUUACUUAAGUAGACAUCUGACUGUAGUACUUUUACUUGUACUUGAGUAAAAUUUAGCAAGGGGUAUCUGUACUUUUACUCAAGUAAGGAAGCUGUGUACUCUGUCCGCAUCUGGUCAGAUGUCAGAGGACGUGACCUAGUGAAGAUACUAGUUGCACAUCUGACAAAUGAGCAUGGGUAAUUUUUUUUUCAUAAACUCACAAGACCGAUAUUAAAUGAAUCUUAGUUGUAUUUUGGACAGGAUGGUAAUUUGAUUUGUGUGUAUAGCACAAGCCCCCCUAGGAGAUUGAAGGAGGAAUACGCCAAAGGAAUCAUCUGCCUUUUUCCUUACUUGGCUGACCCCCGGAGCAAGCUUGGCUAUGAACAUUUUUAUAAUGCUGAAGAUGGAAGUGGGUAUUUGGCUUGGAGAAUCAAAACUCUGCAGAAAGAGGUGUCCGAGGGGCGAAUGAAACGGUCACGACAACUUCAAACAGGCCAGUGAUUAAUUUGGAACUUGACCACUCGUUUAUUUGGUCUAGGUUUUCUUUUGAGUAUUAAACUGGCAUGUUGUCCCAAACCUUUAGGUGAGCCAACUUCACACAGGGAUCCAUUGAAAGAAGACAUCCAAUGGGACGAACAGCAGUGUCAAGAAGCAAUUGCCCUGAUGAAGCAUUCUACGGAUGAAGUUGUAGUGAAGGAGAAAAUGAGGCUAACCCUGGCCUAUCGUCAGAAGUUGCUGCACGAUCCUGAGAACUCAGCCGACAUCCUAUCUGUUUUUCCUCGUUUCUUGGACAUUCCAGGUUUGAUUGUUCAAGAUUUCAGGAGUCUUUUUGGUGACGCAACCUCUGCAAAGAUGUUGGAAAAGUGGACCACCAACUUUCAAGCAAAGGUUGUAACUCAGUGUCGUGGGCUUACACUGACUGGAGAUGUACAAGACCUCAUCCAAAAUGCUGAAGCCACUGAAGUAGAUGAUGGCUGGGACAGUGACAUGUCAUCAAUGCUGUUGCUGGUUCACCUUCUGCCACCUUCAAGCCAAGGCGGAAAAAAAACCAGGGAAAAUCUCAGCCAGACAAGCAUGCGACAGUCUUGUAAAAUUCAUCAAGGUGAGCUUUGUGUGGAACAAAAAGGGUUGGAAAAUACUUCCUCUUUUAUGGGGGAUUAUCACGCUGAUACGUAGUACUUCCGCAUUCGGUGUUCAUUGUGCACUGUGACAUCCCGUGAAUCACUCAUCACUCUGGCGAACUGAUGAUGGAGGACCGGCAGUUCACUUUCACGACAUCCCUGGUAAAUGUACCCAAAGUCACGUUUUCUGAAGUUCACAGACUUACCGAACAACACUCCAUAACAGCCCGCUCCAAACUGGACAAGGGAUUGUUUAUUUUUCGAGAAAUAUAUCGACUACGAAUGUGAGUGUCUGCUAGCUAGCUUACGCUACGUAGGUUGGCUUAUGCUAACGUCAGUUUGGCGUCAGCUCAGUCUGGAGGGAUGAAAUGAUGAGAUGAAAAAUAAGGUAGACUUCUUUGGUACAUAUAUGAAUGUGUAUCUUCAGCAGAAAGUGAAAUGAAUGUGAAAUGAACUGAAUGAAUAAAGGAACUGAAAGAAUAAAAGGAUUUAAUUCAUUCCCUUUUUCUGAGUACAUCAUUUACUACAUUAUAUAUUAACAUUAUUUUGAAUACUUUCAGGAUGGACUGACUGGACUUUAAAAUUGAUUAUAGAUGAAAGACUUCUCAUUCAAUUAAAUACAUGUCAUUCAAUAUGUUUUCAGUGUGCAAAAUUACAGCUCCGGGAAAAAAUGAAGGGAGAACUCCAAAUGUUCAGUGCCACUGCCUCUUGUUUUAAUAUUUACAUAUUAUAUUUAAUAUUUAUAGGUACAUGUUUGAGUAGAAACACUAUUCAACAGGGAUGUAGCCUUUUAAAUCAAGUGGUCCCUGGAAGUUGGUCAUCACACAGCAGACGGUCCACAGCUGAUUGACUGUCACAGACAAGGGUGGUACAAUCAACGUUGCCCCACGAUCAGCUAGUGGCUUCUCGAUGGUGAAACCCUUGUCUGCCAUGCAGCCAUCUCCUAGCUCCAGUAAAUCCAGAAGUCCACUUCGUUUAGUCAGCUCUGGGUCGGAGAUGGAGCCGGUGAAGAGACUUGACACAAAAGUCACAGCACUACAAGGGGCAAUCCCAAUCAAGGCCUUAAAGGUUGUUGUGUUCUUGUAAGAUGAUGUUCGGGUAAUCAUCGACUGCACCUCGGUGCAGUCGAUGAUUACCCGAACAUCUGGACUGUACUGCACAAAUUUGCUUGGCAUGGUGUUCUUGACUUGCUGUUUACUCAUCCAGAUGGGGAGGGAGCCAAGGAGCAGGGGAGGGAGCCAAGGAGCAGGUAACGGUAGUUGGCCCACGGUAUAACAACAUGGGAGACAGUGGACACACUGACCUGAAACAUGUCAGCCAGCACCUUCUCUUGCAGGCCUGCAGCAACCCGGCAGCAGAAGAGAAAAAAACUCAACCAGUUGCAGACUACACGUUGGACUGGGAGAAAUGGGUUCAAAAAAUGUUUGUUUCUUUUUCUGAGCUUUCGACCAAUAAACCAACAUGGAGGCAGAUGGUUGAAUAACCUCCCAGAAGUCACAAAAAACAUAUCUUGACGUGAAUCUGGUGUAAAAAAGGAUGUCCUCGUCUGAGACACAAAAUCUGUGAAAAGGCACUUGAACCACUUUCAGCUGUGACGGCUCUCAUCAGCUCCUUGACUGUUUCUUCCAAUUGCUGUAUGUGUACAGCAGCAGCAUCCAGUGCACCUGUAUGAGAUGAGGAAUAAAGAUUAAAACAUCUAACCCAGAUUUUGGCUGUGACUUGCAUAUUGGAAGCAGUUUGGACCUCUAAAGAAAUUGCUUUUUGUAGCUCAAUAUUGCUUUUAAAAUGUGCUUUUUAUAGCUCAAUAUUCACCUUUACAAUUAAUUAAGUAAGAUAUAAAAUGCAACAUUUGUACUUGUUAUGAAGCUUUUCACAUUGUGGUUUGGUCAAAUGCUGGGACAUUAAUAAGACUAAACAUUUUGUGCCCAAGUACUGAAAAGUUGACUUACCUCCUCGGUAUAACCUACUAAGAGCCCAUUCUGUGAUUAAACCAUAGGUAGCACAUCCUGUCAGGUAGGUGGUUUAAGAACAGUAUGGGGUAUUAUUAUUAUUCACAGGGCAGCGGUUGCUCCAGAGGAAGGGCUGGGUGAACGUCAUGGCCUAAGCGAGUUGAUGCUCUUUUAUAAACAGACCCCCUUCUUGGCAGUCCCCAGUUGUUCCACUGGAAACGGGAGGGUACAGACCCGAUUUUCAGUCGCUUAUUGUGACCCUGGUUGGUUGCUAGCUGUAGCGUUUGUAGUCUGAUUCACUAAAGUGCCGGCUACAAACAAACGUGCUACCUUGUUUUAUUUUAAAGUUUGGCCCUUCAUCCCGGCGAACCGCUUGAAUCCACUUCUUCCUUAAACUCAAUUCAGUCGGGAAUCCAUGAAAACUUAAGUAGGGUUGGUGUUGUUUGUUAGAUGUACAAAGUGGAACAGAGCAGUGACAUCUAGCCUUUGUUUCAGCCAUUGUUGAAGUGCGCCGGAAGUGUUCAUGCACAACGAAGACAAAUCCCGCCACCGGAACCAGGAAGCGUGAUAAUCCCCUAUUAUGCUAAUAGUGCAGGGCCAUUGGAUUGGGACCAGCAUCCAAGGACACCUGGACAACAUCUCUGGGAGUCUCCAGCCAUACCUACUUGCUGUUGGUGCCAAGAAGAGCAUGAUCGAGUCUUACUACAUCGUGAUCGACAAACAUGCUCUACCCUGUAAGACCUCAACUUCAUUGGCUUGUGUUGAUGAACUUUUCAAAGCACAUUUCGUCUUUGGCACAAGAUACUGUCAGGAAUUGACCAAUGUGUACACCUUUCUGCAAACCACUGUCUAUGACAUAGAUGUGGAAAACACCAAGGUAAAUCCUAGAGUUGCAGAGUUGAGGGCCAGGAUGCUGAAGUAAACUCCUAUGAUCUGCUUCAUUUGUCUUUGUCCCGGAAAAACUCUCAGGUUAAAAUGUGCUCAAAGGGGUUGUGCACAUGUAUAUAAUAGUUUUUCUGGAUUACGAAAGCAUCUCACUAAGUGUUCUUUGCGUGACAGUUCAAGUGUUAAUGAAAGUUCAUCUUCAGCAUAGGAGUGGAGAAUGAGAUGCCUGUGUUUCAUGUAGUCCAGAAUAUUGUUGUAAGAGAUUAGUGUUCUUUUUAUAACGACUGCUAUGAAAACUCUUUAUUUAGAGGAACAUGUCCAUGCUUUCAAGGUUAUGCACACCACAGAAGCACCCAUUGUUUUGGAAUUUAAAGACCUUUUGCACCACAAGUCUUCUGAUUUUUUUUAUGUGGUCUUGAUUCAGAUUUGUUUAUAAUCCAUUAUUUUUUCAUGCAAUGCUUUUUGUUUAGAAUGAUGUCAACAGUGUGCAUGUGCACAUAUGGAAUGAUAAUUUUCUAUUGAGAGCAAAUAUUUGGUGCCAAAUAAAAGGACAUGUGGG